CAGGAAGAAACAGGAGCUCACAUUCUUUUCCCCUGGGAAGGUAAUGAGUCUAUAGGCAAUUAGAAGAACAAACAAUGGAAAUGAAGAUAAGAAAGUCAAUUAGUAUCACCAGAAGAAAAUAGGAGUAACUGUAUCUCAUCUACGUCUGUGUCACACGUAUCACAUGCAACCAUGUUGAAAAUAGAGUCACAUGUCACAUUUUUUCACAAAAUACUUUAGUGAAAUGUAUCGCACAAGAUUUAAAAUCCAAAGACUGCCUGAAUAUGAUGUCCUAAGUAAGACACUGAACCCCUCAGUGACAAAAGGAGACGCUGUGCAUGAGAAUUAAGGAAGUGGGAAUAAGAGCAAUCUGGACACACGGCAUGCAAAUGUAGAGUCAAAAGAGACUAACACAUUUUCUUUUUAAAAAUUUUAUUAUUUGAGAACCAUAUACCAGGGCAUGGAGAACUUAUCAGGGCCCUGUCCUUAGGCACCAAGAGCUGUCACUAGCUCCUCAGUCAAGUAAGGCCUCAUAAGGCCCCCCUCCAUUCAUCCAUGCUGGGAUUUGGACUGGCUUGACCUUGUCCAGGUCUUGCACAGGUAGCACAGCUGCUAUGAGAUGAUGAGUGCAACAGCCAUGGCCUGUCCAGAAGACCGCAUUUCACACACCAGUCCCCCUCUUCUGGUUCUUACAUUCUGUCUGAUGGCUCCUCCAUGAUGCUCCCUGAUCCUUGGGGUGAGGGAAUUGACAUAGCUUCCCCACUGAAGUCUCUAGGACAUAAAAAUGCAAAUUAAUUUGAAAGGAGAAUGCUUGAAGUAGGAUUGGUUCUCUGGUGCACUCUGCUUGAACUUGAUCAUACAGGUUUUCCUAAGCUGCAUAAAUUCUCAGAGGUCACUGCAAUGUACCUGCAUCCAAGGAGGCAAGGGUAUAUCUCGAGUUGACAGCAAAAUUCGUUGUUCACAUAGUGUCCUUCUCACAGGUAUUUAUGAUGUAAGAGUUCUGAUGCAUGAAGGCUUGUAUCAAGGAUACAGGAAAGAAUCCAGUGAUGCCAUACAACAUAUAGCAGGGCUCAGAUCCCUGCAUUGAGGCUCUGAGGGACCUCCUAUAUGGACAUGUGGCAGCGUUCUGAAGCCCUGUGGGACCUUGUCAAUGGAGCUAUGAGUUGCAGCAGAGACUCCAGGAUGCUGACCAUACCAAGAAUGUCUACCAAUGUUACAGGCAUCAGGAUUAGUCAACUGUACCAAAACCCUACAUGUGCUGUGCUGCUGGCACCAAGGCUACAGGGUCAGGGAACUCAAGUCUGUUAGAAGGCAGGAGAUUUCACCAUAAGCUGGAGAUUCUGGACAUAAAGCUACCAGUUUUAGUGCUGUCCCUCUUCAGUUUUGUGUUGCUUUGGUUUGGUUUGUGUUUGCUUGCCUCCCAGUCCUCCUGUUUAAAUGGGAAUGUUUACUCUGUGCCAGUGACUAUUGGCAGUGAAUUACUUUCAAUGUGAUGACAGUUAAUGACAUGGGGAUUCUGAGUUUUAGACUAUGUAUGUCCUUCGGGUCCACGAAUGCUAUGUCAUUGUUUGGAUCUAUAUGUCCUCAGCAGGUUCCUUUGAACAUUUGGUUCCUUGGUGUUUCUUUUUUAGGAGAUUAUGGAACCUUGGGACAUGUGGCCUAGCUGGCAGAUACAGGUCACCAGGAGUUAGCCUUUGGCACUUAUAGCCCAGAUCACUUCUGAGCCAGUUCACUGAUUACUAAAACUGAAGAAGCUGCCUCCCUCCAUCACCUUAUGAUUGAUGGAGUUCUCCCAGCAGCCACACUGUCCAACCAUGAGGGACCCCUUUGAACUGUGAGUCAAACCCUGGAGCCUCUCCCUUCUUAAGUUGUUUCUGUCCAGUGUUCCAGUCACGUGGUGAGAGAAGUGACCUGACUAACGUGGUAAUAGGUUAUGAUGACACUUCUCAGAAACAGAAUAACAAAAACUAGAAAACCGUAGGAAAUUAUCUUCCCCUGCAAGAAACUGACAUUUCUGGAGUGCUAAGGACACCAAAACCUCAUCAGAGGUUCUAGGCUCAAGAAUCCAGCAGAAUGCCUUCAGUGGCUACAGAAAAAGCCCCAAAGCGACCCAGUCUGCCUAACACAGAAGAAUAUGUGCUUCUGGCAACAUAGAACACACGGCCACAUUGGAGAACAGCACCAUUAUUCAUAACAUGAGGAAAGAUGAAAACACCUCCAGUCUCCAGUUAUUCUGAAUGUGUAGACAAAGUGCAACACACCUGCCUGGCAGACUGUGAUCUGGCCAUUAGGAGAACGAGUCAAGGGCAGGAGACACGGCUCAGCAGGAGCCUUCGACACAGCAACAAGAUGACUGAUGAUACCUACUACAGUGCGGAUGUCCUACAAAGAGCUGUCAUGCUGGAUGGUGCUGCAGAAUAAUUAUUUUAAAAUUUGUGUGUAAACAUCAUAGAGGCAUUUUUGCCAAAUAUUUUUUAUCAAAGGAUGGAAGCCCCAGGAAAAGAAAUAGAAGUUCAACUGCAGUUUUAAUUAUGGAAGGAAUUACCUCCACUCACAAGUCAGCUUAACGGCGACAUGUGGACUUCUCCUUUGACUGUGAGUUCCAGACUAUAAAUACCUCAGCAUACCCAGAGGCCACUUCCUGUGACCCCCACACACCAGAUAGGCCAUUUCAUAUGUUUUGGCAACUCACCAAAUGAGUGAUGGAUAGGAAAAGCAAGUCCCCAAGUCAUAGACAUGAAAACUUUGUCUCCAACUAAAGUUAUAAUAAUAUCUUAGUUUAUUAUAAACCUAAUAAUCAAAUCUGAAAUUUCUCAAAAACUCCAAAUUGCCAUUUUUAAAAUGAUCUUAAAGAAAGGUAAAUUACUUAAAAGAAAAUUUUGAGGAGAUAUAUUCAUA